rnacentral:tRNA from 1 species
AAGGAUUUAAGUUAGACUUAAACUACUAGCCUUCAAAGCUGGAAACAGGAACUCCCUAAGCCUUA